rnacentral:tRNA from 1 species
GGGUGAAUGGCUGAGUGGUUUAAAGCACCAAUCUUGAAAAUUGGCAUGAAAAUUCAUCGUAGGUUCAAAUCCUACUUCACCCG